rnacentral:lncRNA from 1 species
UAUGGCAUAUGCAUAGCUGAUGAUCCCAAGCUUUGCCUUUAGGCUUGUCUUGUUGAAGCUGGACUUUACUUCUACUUUUAUCAGUUUUGCUGUUUCCUGUGACAUGUUAAAGAACUGAAGGCUCCAGAAAUCCACAGAAGUAAUUUCUCUGUGACCUAUGGACCAAUAAUAUAUUUGUCAUUACAGAACUCUCUUGCUUCUGUAAAGUUAUGCACCAGUGCCAUUUUUGCUACUUCUGAGAAGUCUUUCAUCAUCCCUUCAAUUGAGAUUCAAUUUCCUUACUCUAUGUUGGCCUGUCUUAUAUAUUCAUGACUAAUAAUUCACGAUUAACAAUAACUACAAGACAGUUAUAAAUAUAUUGGUAGGUAAUUUAACUCUCUCAAAUCUUUGAAGCAAAUCUUGUGUGUGUGUGUGUGUGUGUGUGUGUGUGUGUGUGUGUGUGUGUGUGUGUUUGUGGUCCAGGGAUUCAAC